rnacentral:rRNA from 1 species
GGGUUGGUUUGUGGUGGCUGGCGGGCGGGGGGGUGGGGGGGUAAGAGGGGGGGAAGGAAGUCGCGGCAGGUGGGUGUUUAUGUAGUCGGGGGUUGGGUGGUGGGGUGGGUGGUCGGGUGCGUGUGACCUUUUUUUUGUUAUUGUUUUUAAUUUUAUCGUGGGGUGGGCGGGGGGAGAAGAAAGGGGCUCCCCCCCGCCCCCCCCGUCCGCUGGAAAAACCACCGGUUUGGGGGGGGGGGAAGACCCCCCACCCCCCCUUAAAGAGGGGGUGUGAGAAGCUUGGCCCCCCCCGGGGGUUUCUGGGGGGGGGGGCGCUCAGGUCGGGGGUUCCUUCCGGAGUUGGCCACACCCACGAACCGGGGGAACCCUAAGGGUUUCUCAAAAAAAAACCGGCCCAACCGAAACCCCUUGGUUAUAGAAGAGGGAUCUCGCCCCUCUCUUAAAAAAGCACUUUUUAAAAAAAUUAUAUCUCUCCCCCCCCCCCCUCAACGCCCGUCGCUACUACCGAUGAAGGGCUCAGGAGGCCUUGGGAUGGCUUAGAGGGUUGGCAACGACCCCCCAGAGCCGAAAACUGGGUCAAACUCGGUCAUUUAGAGGAAGUAAAAGUCGUAACAAGGUUUCCGUAGGUGAACCUGCGGAAGGAUCAUUACCGAGUGAGGGCCCUCUGGGUCCAACCUCCCACCCGUGUUUAUUUUACCUGUGCUUCGGCGGGCCCGCCUUAACUGGCCGCCGGGGGGCUUACGCCCCCGGGCCCGCGCCCGCCGAAGACACCCUCGAACUCUGUCUGAAGAUGUAGUCUGAGUGAAAAUAUAAAUUAUUUAAAACUUUCAACAACGGAUCUCUUGGUUCCGGCAUCGAGAAGAACGCAGCGAAAUGCGAUACGUAAGUGAAUGCAAAUUCAGUGAAUCAUGGAGUCUUGAACGCACAUUGCGCCCCCUGGUAUUCCGGGGGGCAUGCCUGUCCGAGCGUCAUUUCUGCCCUCAAGCACGGCUUGUGUGUUGGGCCCCGUCCUCCGAUCCCGGGGGACGGGCCCGAAAGGCAGCGGCGGCACCGCGUCCGGUCCUGGAGCGUAGGGGGCUUUUCACCCGCUCGGUAGGCCCGGCCGGCGCUUCCGAUCAACCCAAAUUUUAUCCAGGUUACCUUGGAUCGAGGGAGGGAACCGCGGCC